rnacentral:rRNA from 1 species
GACGAACGCUGGCGGCGUGGAUUAGGCAUGCAAGUCGAACGGUAUCAUCCUUUCGGGGGUGAGAGAGUGGCGAACUGGUGAGUAACACGUAGGUUAUCUACCCUCAAGACGGGGACAACCCAGGGAAACUUGGGCUAAUACCGGAUGUGAGCAACUUUUAGUUGUUUGAAAGGUGGCGUAAGCUGUCGCUUGGGGAUGAGCCUGCGUCCUAUUAGUUAGUUGGUGAGGUAACGGCUCACCUAGGCAAUGAUAGGUAGGCGGCCUUAACGGGUGGUCGCCCACACUGGGAUUGAGAUACGGCCCAGACUCCUACGGGAGGCAGCAGCUAAGAAUCUUCCGCAAUGGGCGCAAGCCUGACGGAGCGACGCCGCGUGAACGAUGAAGGCCGCAAGGUUGUAAAGUUCUUUUCGGGAAGGAGAAUAAGGGGAGCAGGCAAUGGCUUUCCGAUGCCGUGAAUCCCGGAAUAAGCCCCGGCUAACUACGUG